AUUGAACGCUGGCGGCAGGCCUAACACAUGCACGUCGAACGAGUGGCGGACGGGUGAGUAAUGUCUGGGAAACUGCCCGAUGGAGGGGGAUAACUACUGGAAACGGUAGCUAAUACCGCAUACCAUCGGAUGUGCCCAGAUGGGAUUAGCUAGUAGGGGGGGUAACGGCUCACCUAGGCGACGAUCACUAGAGGGUCUGAGAGGAUGACCAGCCACACUGGAACUGAGACACGGUCCAGACUCCUACGGGAGUCAGCAGUGGGGAAUAUUGCACAAUGGGCGCAAGCCGGAUGCAGCCAUGCCGCGUGUAUGAAGAAGGCUUUCGGGUGGUAAAGUACUUUCAGCGGGGAGGCGUUACCCGCAGAAGAAGCACCGGCUAACUCCGUGCCAGCCGCCGCGGUAAUAC
rnacentral:rRNA from 1 species